rnacentral:rRNA from 1 species
UAGGGAAUAUUGCACAAUGGGCGAAAGCCUGAUGCAGCCAUGCCGCGUGUGUGAAGAAGGCCCUAGGGUUGUAAAGCACUUUCAGUAGGGAGGAAUUAGCUUGGUUAAUACCCGAGUGAAAUGACGUUACCUACAGAAGAAGCACCGGCUAACUCCGUGCCAGCAGCCGCGGUAAUACGGAGGGUGCGAACGUUAAUCGGAAUUACUGGGCGUAAAGCGCGCGUAGGCGGUUGAUUAAGUGGGAUGUGAAAGCCCCGGGCUUAACCUGGGAACUGCAUUCCAAACUGAUGAACUAGAGUACGAGAGAGGGGGGUAGAAUUCAGAGUGUAGCGGUGAAAUGCGUAGAUAUUCUGAGGAAUACCGGUGGCGAAGGCGGCCCCCUGGCUUGAUACUGACGCUCAGGUGCGAAAGCGUGGGGAGCAAACAGG